UAUAAGUAAAUUUUUAAUUGCUUCUUUGCACACUAAUAGAAAACCGCCCUUUAAUGACGCGCAAACAAUGACACUCACUGAUAGAGGACACGUAUUUGUAUGUGCCCUAAAAAAUAAUGUCAAUUUUGCAAAAUUUGAAUGAUAGUGGACACGCAUUUGUGCGUGCCCUAAAAUUAGUGUCAGAAAAGGAAAAAAAAAUGCGGAGGUCGCCUUUCAUAAAAUAUGCGACCUCUAAAUGUGUCGCUUUAUAAUUUUAAUGAAACACGCGUUUUUAAGGCGGGAUUUCACCCGCCUAUUAAAUCCCAAAAAUUAAACCCCCCCGCCUCUUCCAACUAGCAAGAAAAAGCCCUAGGGACUUCGUCUACAUGGCCGCCGCUUUAGAGAACGGUACCGUUGAUAUCUCUAUUGAAGAUGUGGUACCAUUGAUAUCUCUACCGUAACAACAACCACCAUCAAUAUAUCCAGAAGCAUCAGCUUGUGCCAUUACACCUCAAACCGUCUUCCCUACAAACCAUCGAACCAUCGACUGCCAUAAAAUCAGCAUUGACUGCUAUCUCACUUCACCUUUCUUCAUCUAACAGAGCAGAAGGAAGAGGGAGAUGGCGAACAUAAAAGGGUCGAAUAACAAAAUCACAGGGACCGAUAUUGAUAUUAUUUCUAGGGAUUUUUUAAGACUCAAAACACUCGCUCACUUAGUGCUCUAUACCAUCGAUCCGGCGACCUGGCCUCACCUACCGACAACCCCUUGCUCACUUCUCCUCAUCGACGAUCUCAUGCUCACCUGACCUCAAUUUCAUCUUCUCGUAGAAGACUAUGUGAUCUCAAUUUCAUCUUCUCCUAUUGUCCCGACAGCAACUACAGCAAGUUGAAAUAUAUCUAUCAAGUUCGGUAACUGAGGCUGUAACUUAUUAGCCUCUUUUAUUGGGGUUUCAAUGAAAGAUAAAUCAGAUUCAGAAGUAUCACAAAGCUGAAAUGCAGCACGAGCUACUUCAAUAUCUCCUGCUUUAUAUUUCUAUACACAUUAUUUCUUAAAAUUGGUAAGAGCAAGGGCAGUAAAGCUUAAUAUGGAUUGUGGAGAAGGAGAAGGGAAUCUGCUUGAAGGGCGGGACAUCCAUAUACAUUUCCCAGCAGGAUCAGUUCCAGAAUAUGGACCCUCAGUUGGUGUGACUUUGGUGACCUAUAAUGGAAACCAAGUAGUUUCGUCUAUGUCUAUGUCUUUGUUA